rnacentral:lncRNA from 1 species
ACAGGUGCCAGUAAGGCAAUACUGGUAACGAUCCUGCUCGAAUGGUGCCUUUUACAUGCCACCGGCACCGAAGCCAGUUAGCCACUCUGGCAGCGAUCACGCUCGGAUGGUGCUCUUAGCACCCUGCUAUCACGGGGCACAAGUGCCAGUAAGGCGACACUGGUAACGAUCACACUCGAAUGGUGCCUUUUAUGUGCCACUGGCACAGAAGCCAGUUAGCUGCUCUGUCAACGAUCAUGCUCAUAUGGUGCUCUUUGCACCCCGCUAGCACGGGUGCCUGUCAUCGAAUUUCACUUUGAUUUUGAUUGAUAAAAUAAAUUUCUUGUCAAAUAAUGGGGUUGCUGUAAUCAACACUUCUCUAAAUUGAAAUGGCAAUUUAGUUACAACAAUUUAACUUUUUUCAUUGAAAUUCAGCCAAGACAGAUUUUCCCUUCAUCCUUCUGGGACCAAUGAAUUACUGGAGGAAUCAAUUGAGUCAAUUACACUCCUCCCUAGAAAUGUGUUCUUGUAUCUGUUUAAAAAUAGAAUUACACAUAAAAGUGGUUGAUGACAAUAUUUAGAUAUAUCUAUUUUCUGAGUUCAAAUCUCACCGAGACUCUUUCAGCCUUGCAGGUUGAAAAAAUAGUCACCAGGUCAUAUAUUGCAUCCCAUUUCCUUGGCUUUGUGCCAAGAUACAUACCAGUAAUACACUGAAUUUGGUACACCAUCUUACACAACGCCCUACAUCUAGUUGAAAGAUAUUUUUAUGUUGACAUAGUUUGGAGAGAAGUCCAGUUUUGUGACAAACAAGAAUUAUCAAAUAUUUGCUCCCAUCCCCUAUCUUUUGUAAUAUUUAAGUUCUAAAUAGGUACAACACUGACUUUCCGGACUCUGAUGGUCCAGAACCUCUUGUAAUCCACUCUGCUUUAUGAACAGGAACUUCAAAUUCUCACAGUUGCCAGACUAGCUUACUUGGUAGCUCUAUAUUUCAUUUAAUUAAGUAAAUUUAAUAUUUGUUUAAUAUAGAGGUGACCACCCCUGGUUUGGAAAAAUCAGUCAUCUGAAAGUUUUCAGAAAAUCAAUGUUGUACCGGUAAUAAUAAAAUCAAGCUACAAUGCUUCAUAUAAGUAAAUAAAUACUAAUGUCUUUUAACUGUUUUUGUCCCCCAAAAAUUUCAUAAGGGAAUGAGAUGUGACAUACAUGCUUUUCUCAUAGAUAUUAUUAAUGUUAGUCAGAAACAUAACCAAGAUUGUGGAUAGGAACUCCUUUGGUUUCUAAGUAUAUUUGACUGAGAAUAUAAUUAAAUGAAACAUCUAACAUGACCAAUACAAUACUGACCAGAAUAGCCAAAAUCAGAGAUUUCAUACUGUCCAAACAAAGUUUCUUUACCAACUGUAAAUAAAAUAUGUAAAUUAUUAUUUUAAAGAAAUGAAUCUGAUUUAUUGUUUCAAUCUAAAAACAAAAAAUUUCCUUUUUGAUUUUAGUUUUGUUACCAAACUUUUCCUUAAAUAAAACUGACCAUCUU